rnacentral:rRNA from 1 species
GUGAAAGUUUGCGGCUCAACCGUAAAAUUGCAGUUGAAACUGGCAGUCUUGAGUACAGUAGAGGUGGGCGGAAUUCGUGGUGUAGCGGUGAAAUGCUUAGAUAUCACGAAGAACUCCGAUUGCGAAGGCAGCUCACUAGACUGUCACUGACACUGAUGCUCGAAAGUGUGGGUAUCAAACAGGAUUAGAUACCCUGGUAGUCCACACAGUAAACGAUGAAUACUCGCUGUUUGCGAUAUACAGUAAGCGGCCAAGCGAAAGCAUUAAGUAUUCCACCUGGGGAGUACGCCGGCAACGGUGAAACUCAAAGGAAUUGACGGGGGCCCGCACAAGCGGAGGAACAUGUGGUUUAAUUCGAUGAUACGCGAGGAACCUUACCCGGGCUUAAAUUGCAUUUGAAUAUGUAGGAAACUAUAUAGCCGCAAGGCAAAUGUGAAGGUGCUGCAUGGUUGUCGUCAGCUCGUGCCGUGAGGUGUCGGCUUAANUGCCAUAACGAGCGCAACCCUUAUCUUCAGUUACUAACAGGUCAUGCUGAGGACUCUGGAGAGACUGCCGUCGUAAGAUGUGAGGAAGGUGGGGAUGACGUCAAAUCAGCACGGCCCUUACGUCCGGGGCUACACACGUGUUACAAUGGGGGGUACAGAAGGCAGCUACCUGGUGACAGGAUGCUAAUCCCAAAAACCUCUCUCAGUUCGGAUCGAAGUCUGCAACCCGACUUCGUGAAGCUGGAUUCGCUAGUAAUCGCGCAUCAGCCAUGGCGCGGUGAAUACGUUCCCGGGCCUUGUACACACCGCCCGUCAAGCCAUGAAAGCCGGGGGUA